rnacentral:lncRNA from 1 species
GCGACGUGGCUAGAGUAGGGUCUGGAGAGAGCUCCCACUGUGGCGAGUCCUGUCGUUGGAUUCCCGCGGCGCCCCGUGGGCUCCGCCCCGACGGUGCUACCAAACCCUGUUCGAUUUUAGAAUCGUACAUUCCCAGAGGGAAUCCUAGACCCCUCAUUUUACAGUUGAGGAAACAGGCCCAAGUAGCAUGACUUGUUCGCGCCGCUAGUCGAAGGAGCAGCAGCCCCGAUCCCUUGACUCUGGGGCACUGCUUUCCCUUUAGCUCAUUUUUGGAGGAAAUGGGUCAGCCCUUGCUCGCCCUUUGGUGAUUGCCGCCACAGGACUUCCCGCCGGCUAACUCAGCGUGCCCAAGUCCCGUGACUUAGUGCCAGGACGGUGCUGUGACCCGUUAUCCCCUGUCGGGUUUUACCUCCCCCUGGGAGAGCUCAGCCCUGGAUCCCGGCGUGCGGCGGAGCCUCUCUGGAGCCCGGACGGGACAGCCCACCAGGGUCUGCUUCUGUGAGGGGCCGAGGCGUCAUUCCGCGAAGCCUUUUCCUUGCUGUCGCCAUGUGAAGAAGGAUGUGUUUGCUUCUCCUUCUGCCAUGAUUGUAAGUUUCCUG